rnacentral:rRNA from 1 species
UACAGAGGUCUCAAGCGUUGUUCGGACUCAUUGGGCGUAAAGGGUGCGUAGGUGGCGGGGUAAGUCAGGUGUGAAAUCUCGGAGCUCAACUCCGAAACUGCACUUGAUACUGCCUUGCUGGAGUACUGGAGAGGAGAUUGGAAUUUACGGUGUAGCAGUGAAAUGCGUAGAUAUCGUAAGGAAGACCAGUGGCGAAGGCGAAUCUCUGGACAGUUACUGACACUGAGGCACGAAGGCCAGGGGAGCAAACGGG